rnacentral:tRNA from 1 species
GCAGCUAUAAUCUAUCUCAAAUAAUUGAUUGUGAUUCCAAAAAUAGAAGUUCAACCCUUCUUACCUGCC